UGUUCCAUUUUCAGCCUCUACAGCCUUAUUGCCAGGAGAGCAGGAGGUGCAGGGCCCUGUCCCACUUGCUCAGGUUCCCACGCCCAGGACACGUCUCCAGGCUGCCCCACAGCUGCAGGCAGAGUCCUCAGGCCUGGGCUUGCUGCAUGAGAGGAGGCCGGGGCAUGGCACUGCCCAGCUCUGUGAG